rnacentral:sRNA from 1 species
CCUGAUCUCAUGAUCCGCCCAGCUCGGCCUCCCAAAGUGCUGGGAUUACAGGUGUGAGCCGCCACGCCUGGCCAUUCCUUGUGUUAAUUUUACCAUACUAAAAAUAAUUAAGAUUAUAUCUAUAACUAUAGGUUGCAUCCUGUUAAUUUUUCCAAAAAAUGACUGAACCUGAAAUUGUUUUGGGGACACUUCCAAACUGGUGGUCAAGCAGUGAUUUUUCUGGGACUGCAGAAGUUGCUGCUGUGCCCAACCUUUAUUACUAACUGGGAAAGACCCAGGGAGACUGGGAUGGGCUCAUGAUUCUACAUACAGAACUCAUCCAAGAAAGGAGGAAAAGCUGAUUUUUGUGAACGUCGCUACUUGUGCCUGAACUAACUAUCAGGCACAUUAGUCAGAAAAUACUACCUUUGGUUACUCCCCCAGGUUCCUAAAAGUAAAGCUUUAGAGGCCACCAAAUUGGCAAUUGAAGCUGGCUUCCGCCAUAUUGAUUCUGCUCAUUUAUACAAUAAUGAGGAGCAGGUUGGACUGGCCAUCCAAAGCAAGAUUGCAGAUGGCAGUGUGAAAAGAGAAGACAUAUUCUACACUUCAAAGCUUUGGUGCAAUUCCCAUCGACCAGAGUUGGUCCGACCAGCCUUGGAAAGGUCACUGAAAAAUCUUCAAUUGGAUUAUGUUGACCUCUAUCUUAUUCAUUUUCCAGUGUCUGUAAAGGUAGG